ACAUGCUUGUGCAGGACCACAGGCCACUGGCUGGUGGAGGGUGCAGGCUUGCGGUGCAGCUGUUUGUCUGCGCGUAUCUGGCAUGGCCUCCCUUUCCCCUGCAUCUGGUCCCCAUUAGCCAAAGUGGAGAGUAUAAAGAAGGGAGCUGACGCAGAGCAGCAGCAGUAGUCUGGUUCCUGCCCUGGAUCAUGGGGUUUACUAUCUGGCUUUGUGUGCUGUGCCUACAGGCCAGCCUGCUCUCACACGCCCUGGACUGUUCUGAAACCAGCCGAGGAGAGACGUGUGUCAGCAGACACGCCGCAGACAACCAGAAUGACGAUCAGAGGCAACAGAGAACACUCUCCCUAACUAAAGAACUGGCCGACAGGUCCAGGAGACACUUGAGUCAGGUUGCGAGUAAGAAGAAGAACAAACGUAAACCCAGAGUCGGCUCUUUUUCACUCCUUAGCAACGACAAGAAGUCCAACCCCCUACAGUUCAGGUUGACCAGAGCGAAGCGGCAAGUGAAGCUUGAUCCUCCCAAAAGGGGAAACUCUGGUCGCUCUGGUGCGUUUUCCGUCCUGGGCGAUCCUACAAUCGAUGCACAGAAGGACAGACCAAAGAGGAGCAUUUAGAGCAGGAGUGUCAAACUCAUUUUAGUUCAGGGGCCAAAUACGGACCAGUUUGAUCACAAAGUGAGCUGCAGAUUUUAGGAGGGAAAAAGAGCAAAUUCAACAUUAAUGUGCCCUGGUUUGCACUUUUACAUAUAAAUUAUACAAGUAUAUCAGUCCCUGCCAAAUUUCUACUUAAAAUUUCCCUGAUUUGGGGAAUUUGGGGAAAUUUUGUGGAAUAAUUUUUGAAAAAUUUGCCAGAUUAUGGAAAAAUUAAGAGUUCUUUCAACAAAAUGAGAUUAAAAAUGGCCACGGUCAUGUGAUUUUAAUUGAAUCUUUUCAUUUGGAGGGGCUGAGAUAUCUACACCUGAAUUAGGCCAAAUUUGAUGCUCUAAAGGGCCGGGUUUGGCCCCCGAGCCUUGAGUUUGACACUUGAUUUAAAGGAUGAUUGUCCAUUUAUUAUACAAAAAAAAACAUUUAUUUGUGAUUUAAAAAAAAUCUAAUUUGUCAAAUAUUUUUGCUUAAUCAUUUUUGUGUAUGUUCUAAGCUAUAGCUUAUCUUUUUAUCAACCAGCACACAUAUACUGUAUGAAGUAUGUUUGCCUGUAUUUCUAUUUCCAUAAUAUUUCUGCAUGUUGUCACAACACGAAAGAUCCCGUAUUAUUUUACAGUUUGCCAGGUUUGUUAUUUAAUCACAGAUACUUUAUAAAAGAGUAAGGAGGUUUUAUUUUUGCAGAAAUGUUUCCUGUGUUGUCAAAUUUUAAUAAAAGUUUUUAAGGCGUG
rnacentral:lncRNA from 1 species